rnacentral:rRNA from 1 species
UGGGGAAUUUUGGACAAUGGGGGAAACCCUGAUCCAGCCAUCCCGCGUGUGCGAUGAAGGCCUUCGGGUUGUAAAGCACUUUUGGCAGGAAAGAAACGUCGCGGGUUAAUACCCCGCGAAACUGACGGUACCUGCAGAAUAAGCACCGGCUAACUACGUGCCAGCAGCCGCGGUAAUACGUAGGGUGCAAGCGUUAAUCGGAAUUACUGGGCGUAAAGCGUGCGCAGGCGGUUCGGAAAGAAAGAUGUGAAAUCCCAGAGCUUAACUUUGGAACUGCAUUUUUAACUACCGGGCUAGAGUGUGUCAGAGGGAGGUGGAAUUCCGCGUGUAGCAGUGAAAUGCGUAGAUAUGCGGAGGAACACCGAUGGCGAAGGCAGCCUCCUGGGAUAACACUGACGCUCAUGCACGAAAGCGUGGGGAGCAAACAGGAUUAGAUACCCUGGUAGUCCACGCCCUAAACGAUGUCAACUAGCUGUUGGGGCCUUCGGGCCUUGGUAGCGCAGCUAACGCGUGAAGUUGACCGCCUGGGGAGUACGGUCGCAAGAUUAAAACUUAAAGGAAUUGACGGGGGUCAUAGCU